ensembl:lincRNA
ACUAUUCCUGCGCGCGAAGCAAGGGGAAGAGUACGGGUCGGGAGACGGAACAGCGAGAAGACGAUGGGACGGGCCCCUUCCUCAAGGAGCCCCCGAAGUACUCAAAUGCGCCAAUCCCACUGUCCUCAAGCCCUGGAAGCUGCUCAGGCAUGGAGAAAAUUUCCUGCCGGCGUCUGUGGUCCUGGACCCUCCGCUCAGCAGCUCCCCUUCAGGACCCGAGCUGGGUGGGUGUCCAGGUCUCCAGUUCUCUUGGCUGCUGAGGAGCGGAAUCCCAGAUGUUUGAACUGGAACAGAAGUGAGUCGUGUUCCUUGGAGUGACAUUAUUACAGCGUGCAAAGAGGGAUUUGAAUGUGUAACUUAAUCACUUGGAUAAAUUUCCACCAUGGCCUUGCACCAUGGUGCACCCUCUGGAGUCAGCUUACCAGGGACUGGACCCUUUGAAGCUGAGAACUAAAAUACAUUUCUCCUUCUUUAAACUGUGGGUGUUAGGUAUUUGUCCCAGCAACAGGAAAGCUGACCAACACGCUCACUGAGGAAGGCCAGUCUUCUUCACAACGUUUUUCCUUCAGUACUCAAACUCCUCCAUUUUGCCUCUUCCUGUCCUGAGCCUGAGGAGAUUUGUGUGGGGCAAGGUUGGUCCCAAGAGCCCUUCCUGCACCUGGAUGUUUAGCAAUGACAAACUGCACUAAUGUGAGUUUGAACCACAUAAAAUACCCACUAAACCCAGACGAGUGGUUUUAGAGCUGACUCCUGCUCUCUUUACCUGGGUCCUGGAACUGCUCCCAGAAACCCCAAACCAUGAGCACAGGGAAAAAGGUUUCUCAGGAAGCCACAGUGGAAAGGACAACGUCUUAACAACACUGUACUUCUGCAGAGCUGCAGACAGAAUGCACGACCAUGGAAACACACCAUGUGGGCUCGUCGCACGGUCCGGGGAAGGCUCGGCGGGAAGGGGCCUCAUACUAUAAGCCUGUGGCUUCAUGGAGAAUCUGCCUCUGUUCAUCAGGAAAGCUCAACUUUCAGUCAGAUUUUCUGGGAAAUCCUUUCACAGAACAGAGACUUGUUGCUUAAUUUAUAAGUGUGUGCGUUGAGAUAUUUCCAUGUCUGGUGCCUAAAACCGGAGCAACCCCUGUAUUUAAGGGGUGACAACUCUAUGCCUGAUGACAGAUGGGGCCGGGGGUGGCAGCUCCGGGUGCUUCCGGAAUUGCUUCGAGGGCGCAGCAGCCCAAGGGGGCCUGAGCAGGGACAUGGGGUGAGUGAGGCCCCCGGUGACCACAGCAGCUGACAGGGUCAAGGAUGGCAGGAAGGGAGGUAACGGAGCAACCGGCCCCUCCGGCCUCCACACUGUAAAUCCUCUUCCUGUCUGCCUCCAGCUCCUCCCCGCCCAAAGCAGCCCCAGGAAGGCCUCACUCACACCAUGUGGGCCUUGGGCCUGCAGCCAGGAGGCACACCUGGCCCAGUUCUGCUUAUCACUGCACCCUUGCCAUCCGGAGCAUCUGGGCUCUUCUUCACUCCCAAGGCUGUGGGUGAAGAGGGCGCCACAGAGCGCUUGCUACAGAGCUGGGCCCAGGCUUGUUUCCCAUUUUUAUAAAUGACCAAAAGGUUAGCUUAGAUCAGAUCAGUUAAAUCGUAGCAUUCUUAAUUUUGCCUGUUAAAGGUGGCUGCUUUGAGAAUGAAUGGUUUCAGAAAACCAGGAAAUGAUGAAUGAAUUAAUUGGAAAAUAUUAAAAUCAAUGAAGCUUUGAGAAUCGCCUUUGUCAGCUCUGUGACAAACUCCUUUUUGUGUGAAUUUCAAAAACUCGCCCCAGGACGAGUUCCUCAGAUGCCUAUCUCUGUAAUGAACAGGAGGUUUGAAAAUGCACCCUGAUUCUGCAGGGCUUUAUUGCUUUUCAAGAUGGAACAUUUUUCGCUGUCAAGAAAGCAACCACCACUGCAUCCCUCUUUAAUUCCCAUGGCAAUGAGGGCCCAGGCAGGUGGACUGCAGCACCAUGGGCUUUAGCUCACUCAGAGGGGGACAGCAAGACCGCUGGGCUCUCGGAAGAAAGGAGCCUGGUGCGGCCCUCUCACCAGCGCGACUCCAAGGGCCUCAUCGGAACCACACGGCACUAUUCGCCCCUCCAUCUAAACAUCACACGAGUGAGGGUAAGUUUUUUCUAGUUCACUUCCAUGCUCUUACACCCUUUUAUGUAACUGAUGCCAGAGAUGUAUGUAAAUAAACAUUCGCAAGGUCCUAAAGAGUUAUAAAAAGCACCACUGAAGCUCACAUUUUAAAAAUCAGUAUUGUAGUAGGAAGGAAAAUGCACUGCUUUUGAACAACCUUUCAUUUAAAAAUAAUCUCAAACUUAGAAGUUUUAAAAGUUAUACCCAAAAAUCCUAGGUACCCUUCAC